rnacentral:rRNA from 1 species
CCCUUAGAUGUUCUGGGCUGCACGCGCGCUACACUGAUGCGCUCAACGAGUUUACGACCUUGCCCGGAAGGGUUGGGUAAUCUUUUUAAAACGCAUCGUGAUGGGGAUAGAUUAUUGCAAUUAUUAAUCUUUAACGAGGAAUUCCUAGUAAGCGCGAGUCAUCAGCUCGUGCUGAUUACGUCCCUGCCCUUUGUACACACCGCCCGUCGCUCCUACCGAUUGGGUGUGCUGGUGAAAUGUUCGGAUCGGCCGUUUGUCGCGGUUUCCGCGGCUCGUGGCUGAGAAGUUCAUUAAACCCUCCCACCGAGAGGAAGGAGAAGUCGUAACA